rnacentral:piRNA from 1 species
UGGUGUGGCUUCCAUGGGCAUCAGCUGC